rnacentral:lncRNA from 1 species
AUAAGGGCACCUGAUGAUUGAAAUAAAAAGGAAAAUUUGAAAAAUCAAAUUAAAAAAAAUAAAAGAAAAAUAAUCAUCAGGGAACUCGAAAGAAGGAUAAGUCAUCGGAUAUUGAAAAUAAAGACAAAUCCAAAAGUUGAAUCCUCGAUAACAGUUGAUCCUAAAGGACGAGUGCAAGAAAGAAUUCCAACACUAAUCCAUCAGAAUGAGCAUAGUGAAGAUAACAAUCAUAUUGACUCUGAACCUUAGCC